AAACCAGCCCUAACACGCCAGAGCCCCAUCUCUCAGGAGGGCCCAGAAGCUAGACAACUUAAGCCACUCCUUGGCCUCCCCAGCCAGGGGCCUGGGCAGGAAAGAUGGGGUGGUGGACUGUUUUUGCCUACUUUUUGUUUUUGAAAAACAUGCACUCCCCACUCUGAGGCCUGGGGUUCUUUUUGCAUCUGUGGGGCCCUGGAGUGGUGGGAAGCAGGGCUUGGCUACACCCUGACCUUUAUCCUGGAUGCUCCCCUGCACCCUUGCUAGGCAGGGCUAGCUCCACUGGGCUCCCCAUCACUCUGCUGGACAGCAGGCUUGCCCCAUUCUGUGAGAGAGCCAUCUCUGGAGGACCCCCCACCCCCAUCCUGUCUGCUGGAGCUAACCUUCCAGCUUGCAGAAGUUUCCAGGGGAAGUAGGUAUCUCAAGGGCCUUGACUUUAUUUAUCUAAGGUGGAGAAGCUGGGGGUGGCCUCAAAUCACCCCCAAACUCCAGGAAACAGAGACCAGAGGUGGUAGAGAGCCAGGCGCAGAGAUGCAGUUUAUUCGUGACCUCUGCUGGCCACUCAUACCUGCGCAAGCUCCACAGGCUGACCUGCCAUGUCCACCCCAUGCCCAGAGGGGCUUCUAGUCCUGGAUGUGCCCUCACCCAGCCCCUGGGAGAAGGCCCUGUAACAACAGGUGAAGAGGGGGCUGACUGAGCCUCAGCAACUGCUGCAGAUACUGUCCCCUGACAAUGUA